rnacentral:rRNA from 1 species
AGCGAACGCUGGCGGCAGGCUUAACACAUGCAAGUCGAGCGGGCCCUUCGGGGUCAGCGGCAGACGGGUGAGUAACGCGUGGGAACGUGCCCUUCGGUUCGGAAUAACUCAGGGAAACUUGAGCUAAUACCGGAUACGCCCUUUUGGGGAAAGGCUUGACUGCCGAAGGAUCGGCCCGCGUCUGAUUAGCUAGUUGGUGAGGUUACGGCUCACCAAGGCGACGAUCAGUAGCUGGUCUGAGAGGAUGAUCAGCCACACUGGGACUGAGACACGGCCCAGACUCCUACGGGAGGCAGCAGUGGGGAAUAUUGGACAAUGGGGGCAACCCUGAUCCAGCCAUGCCGCGUGAGUGAUGACGGCCUUAGGGUUGUAAAGCUCUUUUCUCCGGGACGAUAAUGACGGUACCGGAGGAAUAAGCCCCGGCUAACUUCGUGCCAGCAGCCGCAGUAA